AGAGCGAACGCUGGCGGCAGGCCUAACACAUGCAAGUCGAACGAACUCUUCGGAGUUAGUGGCGGACGGGUGAGUAACACGUGGGAACGUGCCUUUAGGUUCGGAAUAACUCAGGGAAACUUGUGCUAAUACCGAAUGUGCCCUUCGGGGGAAAGAUUUAUCGCCUUUAGAGCGGCCCGCGUCUGAUUAGCUUGUUGGUGGGUAAUGGCCCACCAAGGCUACGAUCAGUAGCUGGUCUGAGAGGAUGACCAGCCACAUUGGGACUGAGACACGGCCCAAACUCCUACGGGAGCAGCAGUGGGGAAUCGUUGCGCAAUGGGACGAAAGCCUGAUCCAGCAAUGCCGCGUGAGUGAUGAAGGUCCUUAGGGUUGUAAAGCUUACUUUACCCGAGUAUGAUAAUGACAGUAGUGGAAGAAGAACG
rnacentral:rRNA from 1 species